rnacentral:rRNA from 1 species
GACGAACGCUGGCGGCGUGCUUAACACAUGCAAGUCGAACGGAAAGGCCCUGCUUUUGUGGGGUGCUCGAGUGGCGAACGGGUGUGUAACACGUGAGUAACCUGCCCUUGACUUUGGGAUAACUUCAGGAAACUGGGGCUAAUACCGGAUAGGAGCUCCUGCUGCAUGGUGGGGGUUGGAAAGUUUCGGCGGUUGGGGAUGGACACGCGGCUUAUCAGCUUGUUGGUGGGGUAGUGGCUUACCAAGGCUUUGACGGGUAGCCGGCCUGAGAGGGUGACCGGCCACAUUGGGACUGAGAUACGGCCCAGACUCCUACGGGAGGCAGCAGUGGGGAAUAUUGCACAAUGGGCGGAAGCCUGAUGCAGCAACGCCGCGUGCGGGAUGACGGCCUUCGGGUUGUAAACCGCUUUCGCCUGUGACGAAGCGUGAGUGACGGUAAUGGGUAAAGAAGCACCGGCUAACUACGUG